GUAUUAUUAUUAUAUUUCAUUAGUUUAUUGGAUUUAUCAAGUGGCGAUUUAAAUAUUUCAAAUGGGAUCAUGUAUUAUUAUAUUUUGUUAGUUUAUUGAAUUUAUCAAGUGGGGAAACUAACAAUUUGAAUUCGACUAACUUAUGUGCUGAUAAUUUUAUUAGUUAUUGUUGUUAUUAUUAUUUUAAAUAUUUCAAAUAAGAUCAAGUAUUAUAUAUUAUAUUUCAUUACUUUAUUGAAUUUUUUAUAUUUCAUAUAUGAGCUCAGUUGAGCUAUCCCAACAAGUAUCCCUUGAGCUCGCCCAAGCUACCUUUGAGCUUACUUCAGCUUCCUUUAUCAUCAACUCCCUAAAUCAGCUUUCAUGAGCUCCACUGAACUCUCCAUAUUCCCAAAAUAAUCACCUCAAGUUAUCACUUUCGCUAUACCACUUGCCCCAAGCAUCACAACAACAUACUUAAAACCUUGUUAGCCCAAUAUACACUCAAAUAUUUGUUUGACUCGGAUUCAAACUAGAUCCAAUAAGAACUGCUAAUUAGUUCAAAUUAGAUCCUACCAAAAAUCUGAUAAAAUACAAUAUUGAAGAUUUUUCAUUUAAUUUAAUGUGAUAUUGAUUUGUUUGAAUUACAAGUAUAAUCUCUAUAAAUUAAUACUCGAUAAAUUAAUAACCUCUAUUUUAUAAUAAUUUAUUACGGUCCCAACUAGGCUAAUAAGCUAAAUUAAUAAUUUCAACAAAUUAAAAAGAUAGUGCUUUCUCUGAAAGCUCUUACAUAACUUUGUGAUCCCAUCAUAUAUAAAUUAAUAAUUUGCUAAAUCACAAAAAUGAUUGUUAUGAUAUUUUAUUAAAUAUAAUAUAAUUGUAUUUUUAUUUUUUAAAAUUUAAAUAUAGUUGGAUCUCAUCUCUAUUUUUGCAUAUUGCAUCUAGAAGUUUUGGGGUUGAAUUCUCAACUUGCAUAAUUUUAAACAUGUAUGUUUAUUAUAAAUUGUAAAUACACUCUAUAAAUUAAGAUUUUAUACGGUGCACACACUAUUCAUGUAUAUAGGUUUUACAAUAAAUGAAGAGAAAAAUAUUCUUGAAACUAAGCAAACAAAAUAUAACUGCAAAUUAAAGGUAUAUAUAUAUAUAUAUAUAUAUAU
rnacentral:lncRNA from 1 species